CCGUGUGCAUCUCUGUUUACACACGAAUGCUUGUGUGAGUUUUGAAGGAAAUAAAGUAAUAAACCACUAAUGCUCCUAUGAAUUCUGACCUGCAAAUUUAUUAAUAAUGGAAACGGAAGACUUUGUGUUUAAUUAUCAACACUUAACCAACAGAGAGCUUCGUAGAGAAACGACCUCAAGUCCCUAGAGCCUUCAUCUUCCACAGCCAGCAAUGGCGGAUAGAAAGAAAUCUAAGAAACCCUCAAAUAACAAGCUUGACUACCUCAAGACUGACAUAGUCUCCUUCGCUUCCUCCUCGGCCUCUCAACCUCUCUCCCACCCUCCGAUUCUUCAGGCUUCAACGAUGUCGAUUUUCGCAACCCCAAAACAAAGAUUCCACCAAAACAAGAACAACUAGAAAUGGCAAAGAUGUACCCCUCAGAAUGUUCACUAGUCUCAACCUCAAAUCAAAAAGUCACCUUCUUUAUCCCCAAAUCAGUCCCCAUCUCAUAAACCCCAUAAGCUCUCAGAUCCGACCCAAAAAAAUCCCACCUCAAAAUUCCGGCGAAACCCAAACCCAAACCAUGGAAGCUUUCUGAUCUCAGUCGUCUCCGGUCGGUUCUCGAAUUACAUGCAGAAUUGCAGAGUCGCAACUCCGCCAGAUCGUUCUCGUCCUUAUAUUUUUAUCAUGUCAUGUGCAGAUGGUCCAAUGAAGAAGUAGUAGUUUGGGAUCUGCCCUCCUCCACCGACUUAAUCUUUGCCGUUGCAACUACCGACCUCUGGAUUUAGAUAAUUGACUUAAGAAUUCUUGUGCAAUUCCUCUGCCCGGAACUUUUCUGGAUCAGUUCGUCCUCCGGUAACAUGUAUUUUGAAACAGGACCAUGUAUUGUGAAACAGUAAUGAAGGAUACAACAAAAUAUCCAAAUCCAACGUAAAAUACCAUUCACACGGACCAGUAAUAUAUUAUAACAAAAGCUCGUCAGAUUGAUGUGACUGGUCACUGGUAUUCAGCAAACGAGAAUAGCGUGGGACCCAUCAAUUUCUUUCACACGGACAAGCUUUACCGAGCACAAUCGCAUCAGCGACGCCAGCAAUACCUACGGAUAAAAUAUCCGUCACUGUACUGUGUGAAUUAGCAAGUUCACACGGAAAUCUGUGUAAAUUAAGAGAAAUACACACGGAUUCUGCACAGUGUGCAGUGGCUAUA